rnacentral:rRNA from 1 species
AUACGAACUGUGCAAACGUUAUUCGGAAUCACUGGGCUUAAAGGGUGCGUAGGCGGGUUUGAAGGUCUGAUGUGAAAGCCCACGGCUCAACCGUGGAAUUGCGUUGGAAACCACAAGCCUCGAGGGAGUCAGAGGUGAGCGGAACUAAUGGUGGAGCGGUGAAAUGCGUUGAUAUCAUUAGGAACACCGGUGGCGAAAGCGGCUCACUGGGACUCUUCUGACGCUGAGGCACGAAAGCUAGGGGAGCGAACGGGAUUAGAAACCCUAGUAGUCC